UACGGAGGAUGCAAGCGUUAUCCGGAUUUAUUGGGUUUAAAGGGUGCGCAGGUUGUUUGAUAAGUCAGUGGUGAAAGUCUGUCGCUUAACGGUAGGAUUGCCAUUGAUACUGUUAGACUUGAAUAUGGAUGAGGUAGGCGGAAUGUGUAGUGUAGCGGUGAAAUGCAUAGAUAUUACACAGAACACCGAUUGCGAAGGCAGCUUACUAAGCUGUUACUGACGCUGAGGCACGAAAGCGUGGGGAUCAAACAGGAUUA
rnacentral:rRNA from 1 species